GAACUUUCCAGAGAUGGAUUGGUGCCUUCGGGAACUGUGAGACAGGUGCUGCAUGGCUGUCGUCAGCUCGUGUUGUGAAAUGUUGGGUUAAGUCCCGCAACGAGCGCAACCCUUAUCCUUUGUUGCCAGCGGUCCGGCCGGGAACUCAAAGGAGACUGCCAGUGAUAAACUGGAGGAAGGUGGGGAUGACGUCAAGUCAUCAUGGCCCUUACGACCAGGGCUACACACGUGCUACAAUGGCGCAUACAAAGAGAAGCGACCUCGCGAGAGCAAGCGGACCUCAUA
rnacentral:rRNA from 1 species